AUGGCAUCUUCGAAUGUCAGACCCUUGAACGAACAGAAGUGAAUGCCGAGAAAACCGAAGCUACCUACCUGCUUAACUUCAAGGGCCGGCAUGGCAGCAAGGUGAAAGAUGUGCCCUUCCACUUAAUUGCUGGAUCAACGCCCGACACUUUCGCUUACACUCCGGAAGACGAUCCGAACUACACUGAAGUAGUCAAGAUCACUUACACCAACUUCAAGAACUGUGGUGUAGCUCAAGGCAAAUACUACGAUGAACGUUGCCUACUGUACGUCACCAAGGAUGUUGCUAAUGAUGUGCCAGCGGAAUGUACGAAAAACUUCGAAGAAAUCUGCGGAGUCUCAUCUUCCUCUAACUGGGAUGACGUAUGUGGAGAAGACGCGUAGACCACGCGGG
rnacentral:lncRNA from 1 species